GUGGGAAAUCUGCCCAGAAGCAGGGGAUAACACUUGGAAACAGGUGCUAAUACCGUAUAACAACAAAAUCCGCAUGGAUUUUGUUUGAAAGGUGGCUUCGGCUAUCACUUCUGGAUGAUCCCGCGGCGUAUUAGUUAGUUGGUGAGGUAAAGGCCCACCAAGACGAUGAUACGUAGCCGACCUGAGAGGGUAAUCGGCCACAUUGGGACUGAGACACGGCCCAAACUCCUACGGGAGGCAGCAGUAGGGAAUCUUCCACAAUGGACGAAAGUCUGAUGGAGCAAUGCCGCGUGAGUGAAGAAGGGUUUCGGCUCGUAAAACUCUGUUGUUAAAGAAGAACACCUUUGAGAGUAACUGUUCAAGGGUUGACGGUAUUUAACCAGAAAGCCACGGCUAACUACGUGCCAGCAGCCGCGGUAAUACGUAGGUGGCAAGCGUUGUCCGGAUUUAUUGGGCGUAAAGCGAGCGCAGGCGGUUUUUUAAGUCUGAUGUGAAAGCCUUCGGCUUAACCGGAGAAGUGCAUCGGAAACUGGGAGACUUGAGUGCAGAAGAGGACAGUGGAACUCCAUGUGUAGCGGUGGAAUGCGUAGAUAUAUGGAA
rnacentral:rRNA from 2 species